AUACGGGGGUGGACUAACGUUGUUCGGAUUUACUGGGCGUAAAGGGUGCGUAGGCGGACCUUCAAGUCGGAUGUGAAAACUAUAGGCUCAACUUAUAGCUUGCAUUCGAUACUGUCGGUCUUGAGUGAAUUAGAGGAAAGCGGAAUUCCAGGUGUAGCGGUGAAAUGCGUAGAUAUCUGGAGGAACACCAGUAGCGAAGGCGGCUUUCUGGGAUUAUACUGACGCUGAAGCACGAAGGCUAGGGGAGCAAACAGGAUUAGAAACCCUAGUAGUCC
rnacentral:rRNA from 1 species